rnacentral:lncRNA from 1 species
CAAGAAAUGUGUCUUUUUUUCUUUUUUUCCCCUAAUUUUAACAACUUAAAUUUAAAUUGCUUUAACACACACAAAGUUUCUGAUGUUUGGUACUCUGUUGGAGAAAACCAACAGACUAUGUGUUAAAGCAGGUUAGACAAUGUUAUUGAUAAAUAUGAACAGUGUGGUUCUUGAUGUAGGACAGUAUUUAGGCGUUUUAUAUUGUAUGAUUCAGAGUGUGGCCUAUCUGAAUCGCAUCAAAGACGUGUGUGACGUCAAAGUGAUUCAAUCGAGUUUAAAAAUAAUUUCAUAACAUUGAGG